AAACCAUGAUGACUUAUCUUAGGACACCUUUAGAUGUACCAUGAAACAAACCGAUAGUGGGACUGAGUUUA